UUUUUCUUUCUCUCUCUCUCUCUCUCUCUCUCUCUCUCCCCUCUCUCUCUCUCCCCCCCCCUUUUUUUUUUUUCCUCUUUGGUCUCAGUCAUGGGGACACCAUUGGGAAUGGAGGGAAGCCAGUGACUGCAUGCUAGAAGCUUUCUAAGUUGCGCACUGAUAUUCCAGGCCGGCUGUGCCUGAGCCAGUGUGGGCUUAAGUUCUUCACGGCCCCGGGGCCCUGGGAAGGUGGAGCCAGCUGCUUCUCCCCGAAUAACUGGGAGGUGAAACAAGAAGCUCUAUGACGCAGUUGAUCGAAAAUGACACAGACACAGAAAAGUCAGGACUCGGCCCCCUCCAGUGCCUCCACCUGCUGCCCACGGCCAGAGUGCAGAUGGGCGAAGUAAGGAGCAGAAAGCAAAAGGACUCGGCUGAAGUGUGCAGCCUCCAGCAGCUCUCCCAUCCUUCAUGAACUCGAUCUGGAAAGGAGACUCUCAGGAGGGUGGGCCCCCAGUGGUUGGAAGGGGAGCAUUCGUGCUGUCCGCCCUGCAUAAAAGCUCAGACAUUUGGGCUGUAAGGGAAAGAACUUAAUGCAGGAAGUAAGGGCUGUAAGGGAAAGAACUCAACUUAAUGGAGUUGAGAAAGAAAUCCACCGGUCAGUGCCUGCAAAGUCCAGGACUGGCUUGACUCUAUGACAUCAGCAGGACUGGAUCUCAAUCGCCCCAUCGCUCUUGAGGGGGGGGGGGUCUCCCCUAGAGGUGGCUGUGAGCUGGCUGCUGGAAGCUUAGCUCAAAGACUGUCUUCUGAGCAGCCCGGGUGACAGGCAUGGGAAUGGCAUGACGGGACCAUCCGCCCAUCCUGGACAUUGGAACUGGGGCAUGGGAUGUGCUAGUCAGUGGUUCUGGGUCACUCGCCCACCUCCGGACCAGGCAGCCCACCAAAACGGCGUGAGCUGGUCCUGGAAGGACGCCGGUGCCAGAGAAGGAAGAUCAGAUCCUGAAAGGUGGUCACAGCAGGUGCACCCCACGCCCCGCGCCCUGCUCUUUCCUUGACCUUCUACACCUUGGUUCUUCUUUCCUGGAAGUGUAACAUGCAGCUGUUCCCUUGCCAAACUUGCCACCGUGGUCAAAUGGCUUCACUUCUCCAUGCCUCAAACGAAGAUGUUGAAAAGGACCUUUUGCAUGGGGUUGUUGUGAGAAUUCACUAAAAUAACAGACCUCAAGCAUCUGGCACCUGGUGCCCAGCAACUCACUUGCUCAUUGGCUCAACGUGGUUAAAAGGUUCUUAUCGCUGUGUCCCAGGACAGAAAGACCCCUCCCUCUGCAGCUCCAGGGGCGACUCAGUGCGUUAAAAAAAAAAAAAAAAAAAAAAAAAAAAGGAGGGGGGGCAACUGGCAGGUGAAAGGCAGACAGGAAGAGCAAACAGGAAGUCAAAUUACUUCUUCGUAAGACACCUUGAUGCCCUAAGGACAGCCUGUUACAAGCGGCCAUCACUCUGGGAAAAGAAAUUGGGGUCUCAGAAACCAGACCCUUUGAAGAGUAAAGCCUCUCACUUUGGCCAGCCUCUGUGACGAUCCUCAUUGAACAUUGCCCAGAAAUAAGUUUUGAUGGCACGUGCUUCUCAUGCAGAUGCUCCCAUGUUCGCAGUUUUUUUCUGAAUGAUCUUUACCAAUAAACCUCUCUCGCGUCCUUACCCUAUCUCUGUUCUAUUUACGGAGCAAGAGAACCCCAAUUUUAUCCGGGGAGGUAAUGUGCCCGACUAAAAGACUACAUUUUCCGGGCUCCUUUGCAGUUCACUGUGGCCAUGUAACUAAUUUCUAGCCAAUGGGAUACAAGCAGAAGUAUGGAAUUCAUAGGAAGGUAAGUUAAAAGGAACGGAUUCAAUUGCGGAGAUAUUCUCUUCCUCCUUCAUCGGGCCAUAGAUGGGAGAGCAGGAACUCCUGCAGCCUCCUUGUGACACUGAGAGCAAAAGCCAGAGCUAGGGUUGUGGAACAGAAAGGCAAGAAGAAGAAAGUUCUGUAAGUCUUUUCUAUGGGUAUGUAAACACUUGUGUUUUAUGCUUCUGUCUUUGGAGUUUUCGGCCAAAUGCAGCUAAAUACAAUCCUAGCUUGAAACAUGAUUCAUCCCUCAGCAACCCUUGGCUGAUCUUCACCCUCUGGAGAAGAGUAGAAAUCCGUGCAUGCCAGUAUCCUGAAUAAUCUUGGCCUCCUCAGGACCUGAGAAGGGUUCCCAUGGACUUUGGACCCCAUGGGGCCUUAGGGUAGGGCCCAGGCUACUUCCCUCCGGUGAAACAAAAACACUUUCUCUUUGCUCUGGGAAGGAUUUAAGAUGCAUUGACCUACCUCAUCAAAUCUUACAAUGCAUGUGAUUUAUUUUUCCGUGCCGGACCCUGUUGGCUAAAACUGAACCACAAUCAUUUUACUGAAUCGGUAAAGAAAACUUGUGUCAAACGGUAACUUACACCAGACGUGUGAUUCUGUUUUGUAACAGUUUACAGUUGACCAAUCACUUUCUGUGCAUUAUCACCACCCACACACACACACACACAGAGAGAGAGAGAGAGAGAGAGAGAGAGAGAAAAGGGGAUGGCUGUAUCCGCUGUACCAGAACCUGGGGCUCGGUCACUCUGUCAUCUUCAGACCAGCCCUGCCCUGGGUCAGACCAGGUGAUGGGGACAAAAUUUCACAGAAGUCCUUCCAAGAGUGGUCAUGUUUUUAGAAUAAGAUAUUGAAAACAUUAUCUUGACAGUAAAGUCAAAGCAGAUUUUAUCUUCCUUAAGCUGCUUGCUGGUGGUUGCCGAAGGCAUAGACACAACAAUCCAGUCUCCUAAACUAGAAGUUCUCUCUCGCCUGGCUCCACUGUGUACAUUUUGUGUGUGCGGGCAUGCAUGCGACAUUCUUCACCGGGCUGCAGCUGGGGCUCAGUCCUGGAUGAGCCCACCCUUACUUGCUCCUCCCUCACCCCCCCUCCUCCCUGCGCUGCCUCACCCGGGUGUCACAGGCCUACCCAGCCCCCAGCCCCUUGGUAGAGGCGGGGAGCAGAGGGAGGCUCAGACUGUGGCCCGAGGUUAUUUACAGGGUGGGGGUGGGGGAGGGAAGAGAAAUUCACUGCUUUGUUUAUCUUCGGAGUCUGGAAACUCUACAGAAUUCAUCCAUUUCCAAGGAAGCCUGCAUGUGCAGGCUUCCAAAACGAAAAAAUAAAAGGAGAUUCACUUCAAAAGAAA